rnacentral:rRNA from 1 species
GUGUCAGCAGCCGCGGUAAUACGGAGGGUGCAAGCGUUAAUCGGAAUUACUGGGCGUAAAGCGUGCGUAGGCGGUAAGUUAAGUCUGCUGUGAAAUCCCUGGGCUCAACCUGGGAAUUGCGUUGGUGACUGGCUUGCUGAAGUACGGUAGAGGAAGGUGGAAUUCCCGGUGUAGCGGUGAAAUGCGUAGAGAUCGGGAGGAACAUCAGUGGCGAAGGCGACCUUCUGGACUAGUACUGACGCUGAGGCACGAAAGCGUGGGGAGCAAACAGGAUUAGAAACCCUAGUAGUCC